UAGCUGAUGAAAACCUAGAUGACGAGUCAUAAUUCUCUACAAGGUUCACUUAUUUGAUUAGGUUUCCUAAUACAAACGUUUACCUUGUCUGUUGAUGAUCUUUGGCCCUGAUU
rnacentral:snoRNA from 16 species